rnacentral:rRNA from 1 species
CCUACGGGAGGCAGCAGUGGGGAAUAUUGCACAAUGGGGGAAACCCUGAUGCAGCGACGCCGCGUGAGUGAAGAAGUAAUUCGUUAUGUAACGCUCUAUCCGCAGGGAAGAAAAUGACGGUACCUGAGUAAGAAGCCCCGGCUAACUACGUGCCAGCAGCCGCGGUAAUACGUAGGGGGCAAGCGUUAUCCGGAUUUACUGGGUGGAAAGGGAGCGUAGACGGCAGGGCAAGUCUGGAGUGAAAGGCGGGGGCUCAACCCCCGGACUGCUCUGGAAACUGUACGGCUGGAGUGCAGGGGAGGUAAGUGGAAUUCCUAGUGUAGCGGUGAAAUGCGUAGAUAUUAGGAGGAACACCAGUGGCGAAGGCGGCUUACUGGACUGUAACUGACGUUGAGGCUCGAAAGCGUGGGGAGCAAACAGGAUUAGAUACCCCGGUAGUC